rnacentral:rRNA from 1 species
AGGGGAUCGCAAGACCUUGCGCUUUUGGAGCGGCCGAUGUCUGAUUAGCUAGUUGGUGAGGUAAAGGCUUACCAAGGCUUCGAUCAGUAGCUGGUCUGAGAGGACGACCAGCCACACUGGGACUGAGACACGGCCCAGACUCCUACGGGAGGCAGCAGUGGGGAAUUUUGGACAAUGGGGGAAACCCUGAUCCAGCCAUGCCGCGUGAGUGAAGAAGGCCUUCGGGUUGUAAAGCUCUUUCAGCCGGAACGAAAAGGUUACGGUUAAUACCCGUGACUAAUGACGGUACCGGAAGAAGAAGCACCGGCUAACUACGUGCCAGCAGCCGCGGUAAUACGUAGGGUGCGAGCGUUAAUCGGAAUUACUGGGCGUAAAGCGUGCGCAGGCGGUUUUGUAAGUCAGAUGUGAAAUCCCCGGGCUCAACCUGGGAACUGCGUUUGAAACUACA